rnacentral:rRNA from 1 species
AUUGAACGCUGGCGGCAGGCCUAACACAUGCAAGUCGAGCGGCAGCGCGGGGCAACCUGGCGGCGAGCGGCGAACGGGUGAGUAAUACAUGGGAAUCUGCCUGGUAGUGGGGGAUAACUCUGGGAAACUAGAGGUAAUACCGCAUACGUCCUACGGGAGAAAGCGGGGGAUCUUCGGACCUCGCGCUAUCAGAGGAGCCCAUGUCCGAUUAGCUAGUUGGUGAGGUAAAGGCUCACCAAGGCGACGAUCGGUAACUGGUCUGAGAGGAUGGUCAGUCACACUGGAACUGAGACACGGUCCAGACUCCUACGGGAGGCAGCAGUGGGGAAUAUUGGACAAUGGGGGCAACCCUGAUCCAGCCAUGCCGCGUGUGUGAAGAAGGCCUUCGGUGUAAGCACUUAAGUCGAGGAGGAGGCGUACCUUGGAGUUAAUACUCUA